ensembl:misc_RNA 7SK 7SK RNA
GAAACUGGAGGCAACCUGGCUGCCACCUCUGUCAGCCCACUGCCGGGGUUGAGUUGGCUGAUCCGGCCGGCAGGGCAAGUGUCCCCUCCCUCCCUCACUACUCCCUGUGCGUCAGAAUGACCACCCCAUAGAGGAGGGCUGCUUCCUCGGUCAAGGGUAUGCAAGUACCUGCGCUCCCCUGCUAGAACCACCAAUAGGGCUUUCAAGAGGGAAAUGCAUUUCACACAAACACGCCCAAGAGAGGGUCAU